UACGUAGGGGGCAAGCGUUGUCCGGAAUCAUUGGGCGUAAAGCGCGCGUAGGCGGCCCGGUAAGUCCGUUUGUGAAAGUCAAAGGCUCAACCUUUGAACGCCGAUGGAUACUGCCGGGCUAGAGUCCGGAAGAGGCGAGUGGAAUCCUGGUGUAGCGGUGGAAUGCGCAGAUAUCAGGAGGAACACCAAUAGCGAAGGCAGCUCGCUGGGACGGUACUGACGCUGAGGCGCGAAGCGUGGGAGCGAACAGG
rnacentral:rRNA from 1 species